AUCUCACAAAAUACAUUUGUGAAUCCUUUUCUGUGCAUUCAUUAUUAAUGAGACUGUUCUGACCCCAUACUGAACUGCUACCAUGACAACCAUCACACCGUCUGUGUACUCCCCAGCCUCACUCCUCCCUACCGACACGGGUACCAUGGCAACCGCUAUGACCACGCACACAGAUCAACAAACAGCCACCCAGCAGAUGCAGACGGCUGGUAAGUGUCAUGGCCGUUUCUGCCGCUUUAGGUGAGGUUAGUCUAGUGGUGAGUCCUAGACCCUACCUCCUAGACCCUACCUCCUACCUCCUGGACCCCUAACUCUUAGACCCCUACCUCCUAACUACUAGACCCCUACCUCCUAGACCCCUACCUCCUAGAACCUACCUCCUGGACCCCUAGCUCCUAGACCCCUACCUCCUAGACCCCUACCUCCUAGAACCUACCUCCUAGAUGUUUGAGGUGCUUGAGGAGACGGAGGAGUUUGAGGUGACGGAGGUGCUUGAGGUGACGGAGGAGUUUGAGGUGACGGAGGUGCUUGAGGUGACGGAGGAGUUUGAGGAGACAGAUGAGUUUGAGGUGACGGAGGUGGUUGAGGUGACGGAGGUGGUUGAGGUGAUGGAGGUGGUUGAGGAGACGGAGGUGGUUGAGGUGACGGGGGAGUUUGAGGAGACGGAGGAGUUUGAGGAGACGGAGGAGUUUGAGGAGACGGGGGAGUUUGAGGGGACGGAGGAGUUUGAGGUGACGGAGGUGGUUGAGGAGACGGAGGUGGUUGAGGUGACGGAGGAGUUUGAGGUGACGGAGGUGGAGGAGGUGGUUGAGGUGACGG
ensembl:lncRNA